UCGAUGGCCAUACCAUCCUGGAAGCACCUAAUCUUGUCUGAUCUCGGAAGCUAAGCAGGGUCGGGCCUGGUUAGCAGUACCUUGGAUGGGAGAAUUUCACAUGUGAACUGAUGCCAAAUGAU
rnacentral:rRNA from 1 species